rnacentral:rRNA from 1 species
GGGUAAUCAGCAGUGAUUAAUUUUGUACAUAAGCGCAAGCUUGAUUCAGUUAAAGAAAAGAGGGCCGGCUAACGUUGGUGCCAGCCGCCGCGGCUACACCCUAGGGCUCAAGUUGAUAAUCAUCGGCGUUAAGCGUGAUUAAAGUUACUAAAAUAUUAGGAUUAAAUUAACACUUAGUAGUUUUAUGCUUGUUGUUAAGAAACACACAAACGAAAGUUAUCCUAUAUAUACUUGAAUACACGACAGCUAGGAAGACAAACUGGGAUUAGAUACCCCACUAUGCCUAGCCGUAAACAAUUAAUUUACACCUAUCAGCGCCAGGGAACUACGAGCAAUGCUUAAAACCCAAAGGAUUUGACGGUGUCCCACCCAGCUAGAGGAGCCUGUUCUAUAAUCGAUGAUCCCCGCUACACCCGACCAUUUUUAGCUAAUCAGUCUGUAUACCUCCGUCGAAAGCUUACCAUGUGAACGCUCUUCAGUAGGCUCAAUGAUUCAAUACCCAUCAACACGUCAGGUCAAGGUGCAGCUUAAGAAAUGGGAAGCUAUUGGCUACAAUUUCUAACUUAGAACAAACGAAAGGCUAUGUGAAAUCAUAACCAUGAAGGUGGAUUUAGUAGUAAAAAGAAAAUAGAGUGUUCUUUUUAACCCGGCUCUG